rnacentral:rRNA from 1 species
AACGAAGGCUUCGGCCUUAGUGGCGCACGGGUGCGUAACGCGUGGGAACCUGCCCCUUGGUUCGGAAUAACAGUUAGAAAUGACUGCUAAUACCGGAUGAUGACGAAAGUCCAAAGAUUUAUCGCCGAGGGAUGGGCCCGCGUAGGAUUAGCUAGUUGGUGAGGUAAUGGCUCACCAAGGCGACGAUCCUUAGCUGGUCUGAGAGGAUGAUCAGCCACACUGGGACUGAGACACGGCCCAGACUCCUACGGGAGGCAGCAGUGGGGAAUAUUGGACAAUGGGCGAAAGCCUGAUCCAGCAAUGCCGCGUGAGUGAUGAAGGCCUUCGGGUUGUAAAGCUCUUUUACCAGGGAUGAUAAUGACAGUACCUGGAGAAUAAGCUCCGGCUAACUCCGUGCCAGCAGCCGCGGUAAUACGGAGGGAGCUAGCGUUGUUCGGAAUUACUGGGCGUAAAGCGCACGUAGGCGGCUACUCAAGUCAGAGGUGAAAGCCCGGGGCUCAACCCCGGAACUGCCUUUGAAACUAGGUAGCUAGAAUCUUGGAGAGGUCAGUGGAAUUCCGAGUGUAGAGGUGAAAUUCGUAGAUAUUCGGAAGAACACCAGUGGCGAAGGCGACUGACUGGACAAGUAUGACG